GCCCGGAUGGUGGAAUCGGUAGACACAAGGGAUUUGAAAUCCCUCGGCGUUCGCGCUGUGCGGGUUCAAGUCCCGCUCCGGGUACCA
rnacentral:tRNA from 1 species